rnacentral:rRNA from 1 species
UAUCUCUGUAGAGUCUGCAUAUCAAUAAGCGGAGGAAAAGAAACUAACUAGGAUUCCCUCAGUAACGGCGAGUGAAGCGGGAAGAGCUCAAAUUUGAAAUCUUCAAGGUUCUACCUUGACGAAUUGUAGUCUAAAGAAGUGUUUUCUGUUGGUGUUUUGGUAAAAGUUCUUUGGAAUAGGACAUCAUAGAGGGUGAGAAUCCCGUAUUUGACCAUUAUUUCCAGCUUUGUGAUACACUUUCAAAGAGUCGGAUUGUUUGGGAAUGCAGUCCAAAAUGGGUGGUAAAUUUCAUCUAAAGCUAAAUACUGGCAAGAGACCGAUAGCGAACAAGUACCGUGAGGGAAAGAUGAAAAGAACUUUGAAAAGAGAGUUAAACAGUACGUGAAAUUGUCAAAAGGGAAGCGUUUGACACCAGUGUUGUUUUCUCGAAAAUCAAUUAAAAAAGGCAGGAUUUUGUGUUGUAUUGACUUUAUCAGCUUUCCGCACUCUUUUCUUGUCUUUUUUAAUGCACUUUUCGUUUAACAAGUCAACAUCAAUUUCUUUUGUUGUAAAAGGGUCAUUGGAAGGUGGCUUUCUUUUCGGAGAAAGUGUUUAUAGCCUUUGGCCUCUGCAAUCGGAGAGAUUGAGGUCUGCAGCGUAGAUCCUUCGGGGUUAGAUACAUUUGUGCUAAGUUAUAGCCUUUCAUAGACAACUUGUUGACUAUGAUCAGUCAUGUAGCUUACUCGCUUAUGCUAUUUUACCUACGCUUAGGAUGUUGACGAUCAGCUGAGCGCG